GGCAGACGGGUGCGUAACAUGUGGGAAUCUGCCUUUUGGUUCGGAACAACAUGGGGAAACCUGUGCUAAUACCGGAUAAGUCCUUACGGAGAAAGAUUUAUCGCCGAGAGAUGAGCCCGCACUUGAUUAGCUUGUUGGUAAGGUAAAAGCUUACCAAGGCAACGAUCAAUAGCUGAUUUGAGAGGAUGAUCAGCCACACUGGGACUGAGACACGGCCCAGACUCCUACGGGAGGCAGCAGUGGGGAAUCUUGCACAAUGGAGGAAACUCUGAUGCAGCGAUGCCGCGUGAGUGAAGAAGGCCUUUGGGUUGUAAAGCUCUUUUGUCGGGAAAGAUAAUGACUGUACCCGAAGAAUAAGGUCCGGCUAACUUCGUGCCAGCAGCCGCGGUAAUACGAAGGGACCUAGCGUAAUUCGGAAUUACUGGGCGUAAAGCGCGCGUAGGCGGUUAAGUAAGUUAAUUGUGAAAGCCCAAAGCUUAACUUUGGAAUUGCAAUUAAAACUACUUAGCUAGAGUUUAUCAGAGGAAAGCGGAAUACAUAGUGUAGAGGUGAAAUUCGUAGAUAUUAUGUAGAACACCAGUUGCGAAGGCGGCUUUCUGGGAUAAUACUGACGCUGAGGUGCGAAAGUAUGGGUAGCGAAGAGGAUUAGAUACCCUCGUAGUCCAUACCGUAAACGAUGAUUGUUAGAUGUUGGAAAUUUAUUUUCAGUAUCACAGCUAACGCGUUAAACAAUCCGCCU
rnacentral:rRNA from 1 species